GGGGGAUAUUGCACAAUGGAGGAAACUCUGAUGCAGCAACGCCGCGUGAGGGAAGAAGGUCUUCGGAUUGUAAACCUUUGUCCUUGGUGACGAUAAUGACGGUAGCCAAGGAGGAAGCUCCGGCUAACUACGUGCCAGCAGCCGCGGUAAUACGUAGGGAGCGAGCGUUGUCCGGAUUUACUGGGUGUAAAGGGUGCGUAGGCGGCUUUGCAAGUCAGGUGUGAAAACUAUCGGCUUAACUGAUAGACUGCAUUUGAAACUGUGGAGCUUGAGUGAAGUAGAGGCAGACGGAAUUCCCGGUGUAGCGGUGAAAUGCGUAGAGAUCGGGAGGAACACCAGUGGCGAAGGCGGUCUGCUGGGCUUUAACUGACGCUGAGGCACGAAAGCAUGGGUAGCAAAC
rnacentral:rRNA from 1 species